rnacentral:rRNA from 1 species
UCGCCUGUUUAUCAAAAACAUGUCCUCUUGUUUAUUAAUUAUUUGAGGUCUGACCUGCCCACUGAAUUUUAUUUUGAAGGGCCGCGGUAUUUUGACCGUGCAAAGGUAGCAUAAUCAUUAGUCUUUUAAUUGAAGGCUAGAAUGAAUGGUUGGACGAGGUAUUGACUGUCUCGGUGUGAUUGGAGUUAGAAUUUAACUUUUAAGUCAAAAGGCUUAAAUGUUUUUAGAGGACGAGAAGACCCUAUAGAGCUUGAUAUCUAAAGAUUGGUAUUUGUUUAGAUAAAUUUUUAUUAUAAUUUUGAAGGUAUUUUGUUGGGGUGACAGGAAGAUAUAUUAAACUCUUUUUUUUAUUAACAUUGAUGUAUGAUUUAUUGAUCCAUUAGUAGUGAUUAUAAGACUAAGUUACCUUAGGGAUAACAGCGUAAUCUUUUUCGAGAGUUCUUAUCGACAAAAAGGGUUGCGACCUCGAUGUUGGAUUAAGGGU